rnacentral:lncRNA from 1 species
UAGACAUUAGACAGGUAGACAUUAGACAGGUAGACAUUAGUACAGGUGAGACACUAUACAGUUAGACAGGUAGACAUUAGACAGGUAGACACUAUACAGUUAGACAGGUAGACAUUAGACAGGUAGACACUAUACAGUUAGACAGGUAGACCUACCAGUUUAGACAGGUAGACAUUAGACAGGUAGACUAGAGGACAUUUAGACAGGUAGACAUUAGGAC